rnacentral:miRNA from 1 species
CUCAUGCCCUCUCUGUGCCAG